AUGCUCAAAACAGAAAGUAUAGGAACACCAAAAUACAACACUUGAUUUGCUUGACCAAAUAAAGAAGUUUGUAAGAAACAAAGAAUUAAUGGUUGAAACCAUGCUCUUCGUGGAUACUAUCCGACCGGAAAAUAAGAUUAUUAUUUUCUUAAGGAAAAUAAGACCGUUUGACCAAGAUGAGGUACACAAAAAGUAGUAGAAUCUAAAGUAGUAUAUAUAUUGGUAGAAAAUUGUGAUGAUUUAACGAGGCAUUAUAUUCUUGUAUAUUUUCUCCAUGUAAGGUAAUUUUAUUUCAGAUACUAUCAAACACUACUAGAGUAUUUUGUGAAGUGUUUUGCCACUACAGACAUACAUUUUGGUCAAUUUUUUGUGUGUGUGGUGGAAUCAAGAAGCUUCUAAAAGUAGCUUUACACAAACACAUACUAGUGGCUCUUAGAUGUGGAAACAAACAUACAUAGGUUAAAAAUGGAGGCAUUUCUCAAUCAUGGUUUAAACAUUGAUUCAAUAUAUUGUGAGAGAGACUAACUCAUUUGUUAGACCAAACUUGAGUUGGUGGAUACUUGUCCAUAUUUAAUGGUAGUAUGCAUUAAAGUUAUAUAGGAGCACGGUGAAUCUAUCAUAUCAAUAUUUUAAGAGUGUAGUUGAUAUUAUAGACUACAUAUAUCAUUAAUUGAAUAUGAA
rnacentral:lncRNA from 1 species